GUAUGCUUCUCAACUAUGUGGAUUUAAGUUCAGUCUCACUGCAGAGCACCUUGGAGAUGUGUCUUCUGCUAAAUCCCCCACACAGACCAAAGUCAUGUUAGUAGAUCUGGUAGACAAAAACUGAAAGAAGCCCAUCAUUUAUGCUGAAAACAUCAUCCCCAGCCUACAAGCACAAAGUUUCCACAAUGAGAGAUUAUCGAACUUCUGGCCAUAAUUCUCAAAAAAUUUUACCAUCAUGUUUGUCCCAUCUAAAGAUCACAUAAGAAAUGUUUUACACUACGAGUUUCAUAAAGGUGUUAAUGCAAGUGCAGCAGCAAGAUCUAUUCAGAGCACUCGUGGGGUGAUGUAGUGAAUGAUAGAAGUUGCAGGAGGUGGUUUCCCCGUUUCCGAAGUUGUGAUUUCAUUUUGAAAGAAGAGCCA